rnacentral:sRNA from 1 species
GCAAGUUGCUUUGGCAGAUAUCAUUCUCAUUAUAAAACAGACUUGGUUCCAGAAGAAGAUGUAAAGAAAUUAAGAACGACAAUUAGAUCCAUAAAUGGACUAGGACAAAUCUUAGAAACACAAAGAUCAAGAACAAUAAACAUGCAGUGAUUGAUUUUUCUUACUUCACUCAAGUGGAUGAGUGAGCAAGUGACUAAAAUCUUCUGUGAGUUCUUCAGUGUAUGGUGCUUGCCAAUGCAUCUGAGAAUCUAGGCACUUUCUGAAAGAGUACUUCCUUGCUAUGAGGACUGAAGUUGGAUUAGAAUCCUUUUCAAUGAAGAUCAGAUGUCCUGAGUAGAAUUCUUACUAUUGGAGUUGAUCUCUCUAAUGUAUUAGAUCUUCAUGCCUUUGAUAGUCUCUCUGGAAUAAGUUUGCAGAAAAAACUUCAGCAUGUGCCAGGAACACAACCUCACCUUGAUCAGAGUAUUGUUACAAUCACAUUUGAAGUACCAGGAAAUGCAAAGGAAGAACAUCUUAAUAUGUUUAUUCAGAAUCUCCUGUGGGAAAAGAAUGUGAGAAACAAGGACAAUCACUGCAUGGAGGUCAUAAGGCUGAAGGGAUUGGUGUCAAUCAAAGACAAAUCACAACAAAUGAUUGUCCAGGGUGUCCAUGAGCUCUAUGAUCUGGAGGAGACUCCAGUGAGCUGGAAGGAUGACACUGAGAGAACAAAUCGAUUGGUCCUCCUUGGCAGAAAUUUAGAUAAGGAUAUCCUUAAACAGCUGUUUAUAGCUACUGUGACAGAAACAGAAAAGCAGUGGACAACACGUUCCAAAGAAGAUCAAGUUUGUACAUAACACUAGAGGCAUUUCUUAUCAAAAGGAUUGGAUAAUAAAAAUAAGUUUCUACUGGGU